rnacentral:rRNA from 1 species
AGGACGAACGCUGGCGGCGUGCUUAACACAUGCAAGUCGAGCGGAAAGGCCCUUCGGGGUACGUCGAGCGGCGAACGGGUGAGUAACACGUGAGCAACCUGCCCUUAGCUUCGGGAUAGCUCCCGGGAAACGGGAAUUAAUACCGGAUACGACUGUGGUAGACAUCUACCACGGUGAAAAGAAUUUCGGCUAGGGAUGGGCUCGCGGUCUAUCAGCUAGUUGGUGGGGUAACGGCCUACCAAGGCGACGACGGAUA